rnacentral:rRNA from 1 species
GACGAACGCUGGCGGCGUGCCUAAUACAUGUAAGUAGGACGAGUUGCGAACGGGUGAGUAACGCGUGGUAACCUACCUAUUAGAGGGGGAUAACUACUGGAAACGGUGGCUAAUACCGCAUACUAUCGGAUGAACCCAUAUGGGUUUAGCUAGUGGGUGGGGUAAAGGCUCACCUAGGCGACGAUCUCUAGCUGGUCUGAGAGGUUGAUCGGCCACACUGGGACUGAGACACGGCCCAGACUCCUACGGGAGGAAGCAGUGGGGAAUAUUGGACAAGGGGCGCAAGCUGGAUACAGCAAUGCCGCGUGUAUGAAGAAGGCCUUAGGGUUGUAAAGUACUUUCAGCGGGGAGGCGUUACCCGCAGAAGAAGCACCGGCUAACUCCGUGCCAGCAGCCGCGGUAAUAC